UUAGGUUUAAAGUGGGUGCUGGUUACCUGGUUAAGGGGAGUCUCAAGGCCAGGGCACGAGGUUCUUUCAGUCUGGAAUGGGUUUGACUCCCAGACCUCCAGCUCCUGAGCACAGAAGCAAAGUCUGGCUGGUGUUGUCUCCUCCUGAGCACCUGGGAGGGUUUAACCCACCCCUUAUCCUCUGAUGGAUACCUGGGAUCAGAUAAACCUGCCUGGGGGAGCAGGGUCAGUCAGGCCAUGUUACUCCAGCCUUUAUCUCAUCUGGCCUUGAAAACUUUGCUUUUUCUCCCUUUGGAAGAGUCAGGGCCACGUUCCUGAGGGAUGUGAGCAGGUCCCCCAGGCAGGCAGAGCAGACUCCUGUGUUUCCCAGGGGUUCAAUCCCUCCUGGCAGGCACAGGGACACACUUCCAGGUUUUCCCCCAUAAACCAGAGGAAAUGGCUGCUUGCAUCCAUAAUGAUGAAAGGCAAGACUUCCCCUUCAUCCUCUGGGCACAGGAGCUGUGGGUUUAUGGAGACACGUUAGGAGACACCAGUUUGAAAUGAAAAGCACAGCCUGACACUUUGGGCAGCUUCUGCACCUCUAUUUUUGUGCCCCUUUUGAGGCUGCCAGGGGGCACUGGUGACCCCAGCAGGACACUGAGUUGUUACCAGGUGAUUUUUUUUGUUUGUUUUGCUGCCUGUUGGGAGGAUGAGAUCACAGCUCGGCUGCCAGCGCUCCCCGGGAGGGAUCUGCUGCAAUAACCCUCAGGCUGCUGCUUUGGGCGUUAUUCUCCCAGGUUUUGCCCCAGUCCCAGCCCUGGUGACGCCCUGCAGGCACAGCCAGGCCCUUCUUGUGCCCAGCAGUGCCAGAGUGAGGCACAGCCCCAGUCCUGGUGCCCAUCCCUGCAUCCCUGCCCCUGCUCAGCACAUCCCUCAGCCUGCCCCUCAGCCCUUCUGCCCCACAACGCCCUGCCCUUUGUGAGAUGGGUCACUGGCGAUGGUGGGAUCCCGUCAAAGGUUGGACUUGAUGCUCUUGGAGGUCUUUUCCAGCCUUAAUGAUUCUGCAAUUCUCCGAUUCUUUGAUUCUCUGAUGCCUUUCCCUUCCCUCCCUCCCUGUUCUCCGCUCUCAGCAGCCUCCUCCUGUUGUCAUAACAACGAGCACCAGCCCGGGUGGCCGUGCCAGCCCUUCCAGCUCCAGCAGCCCCUCCCGGGAGGGAGCAGCAGCCCCCAGCCAUCUGGCCGAGUGGCCGUGCCAGCCCUGCCAGCUCCAGCAGCCCCUCCCGGGAGGGAGCAGCAGCCCCCAGCCAUCUGGCCGAGGUGGGGAGGAGCAGCCCCGGGCACAGGGACAGCGGCUGUGUCACCUCUCUCACACACACCGUCCCCAGCACGGGGAAGAAUUAUUCCUCUACUCAAGUGUCAGGAGGGGCUGGCAGUGGAACGAACAUCACCUCCAAGCCAGGGCUCGCUGCCUUCCAUCCCCCAAAAGGAAAAUCCAAGCUGUUACUGUGGAAUCUUCACACACCUCACACAUCUCUCCAGCUUUUUUGGAUGCUCCAUCCACUUCUCCUGCACCAGGGGCAGCAGCAGGAGUGGGAGGCCCCUGGAGCAAGGAGAGCACAGCGCCCAGAGCUCUGCCAGCCCUUGCAGCCCAGGAAGAGCCCAGGUGGCCCCAGAGCUCUGCAUUGCUCACCCUGCUGAGCUGGGCUCGCCUCCUGGCCUCGUGCAAGUUCUUAGCUGGGGAAACUGAGGCAAGGAGCAGCUGAGCCCUGGGAACUGGGUGAAGUUCCUUCCUUGAAAAGCAGUUAUUGCUGAAUUCCUGCAGAUCUCAGCGAGGGGGAGGCAGAGGUUUGCACCCAGCACCUCUCCCUGCUCCUCACACACACGUGGCUUUUCUGAGAUGAACGCAGAACAGCCAAGCUCCCCCAGCCCUGCGCUCACCUCCCUCACCCGGAUCAGCAUUCAGACCUGGGGAAAUCAAAUAUUCAGCCACGGGCUCUGAUGUUUGGCCAGGGAGCAGCAGGUGCUCCAGCUGGAACACCACAGGGAGAAAUCCCCCGGGGAUUUCCUCCCCUGCCCUGGUUUUUGAGGCUGAUGGGGUGAAGAGGAGCAGGGCAGGAGCUGCCCAGAAAGGUUUCCAGGUGAAUAAAGGGAAUUCACGGGCAGAGGGCAGCUCAGUUCUUGGGUAGUAACAAGUGGAAGGGGGAAAUUCCAGACUUUUAAAAUAAUUACCCUAUUUUUUCUCUAAAGUUGAUGUCCAAGGCCAGGCUGGACGAGGCUCUGAGCACUCUGCUCCAGUGGGAUCUGUCCCUGCCCACAGCAGGGCUUGGAACUGGAUGAUCUUGAAGGUCUUUUCCAACCCAAACCAGUCUGGGAUGGUGGGAGUUCAGCCUGGCCUCUGCAGAGCCCACUCAGAGCACCCCCUGCUCGCAGCCUCAGCUCUGUGAGGAGGAAAAACUGGGGAAAAAAAGGAGAAAAAACUGGGAAAAAACCCAGUUGUGGCAUUUCCCUGAGGGUAGCACUUCCCCUGCAGUGGGGGCUCUGCAGGGAUGGAGUGGCUGCAGCAGAAUCAGGAUUUAUCCAGAUGUGCCUCCAGGGACCUGGGAAAUAAAACAGGAAUUAAAGAGUGCCAGUCAUACGUGCAGGGAUAUGUUGGGACUUUGAAAUUUAUUCCAACAUGCUGUUUUUUUUAAAAAUACGCCCAGACCGAGCAGACAAUCUGAGCUGUAGUAAAGGCAAUAUUAUACUUGUAAAAACUUCUCAUUCACAGUACAGAUGUCAUUUACAAUAAGGGUCACAAACAUCAAAUACUGAGUAUUUUUCUUCCUUUUUUUUUUUUUGUUUUCUUGUUUUUUGUGUGUUUUUUGUUCUUUUUUUGUUGUUGUUGUUUUUACAUCAGACUGUGCUUUUUACUUGCUUUUUUUUUUUCUUUUUUUUUUGCUUUUUUUUUGCACUGAUAUAACCAUACAGACAUUGCAAGAUGCAAGUGUAGAAACCGGAGUUCAAAUAAAAUUACAGGCAAAACUACCAAAUUCCAUUUGACGCUGUACAUAUUUACAGUACCAUUUUUUUUGGAAUGUAUUGCCAUUUUAAGAACAUAUAGAAACUUUCUACAGACUAUUCCACUUACAGAAUACAUACACCUUUUAGAAAAAAAGGCAAAUAUUUAUCUUACAUGAGACCAUGUAUAUUAAAUUUGCGUACACAUUAUUAUUAUUAAUUAUUAUUAUUAAUUAUUUUUUACAUUACAUUUACUAAAGUGAUCGUAAGUGCCAUCAUAUCUCAGUAAUGAAAACAGAUUGGUUUUAUGCCAUCAGGACUGAUGUUUUUAAAUUUUUUCUUUUUUUUUCUUUUUUUUUUUUUUUUCCCCCCCCCCCCCCCCCCCCCCCCCCCCCCCCCCCCCCCCCCCCCCCCCCUUUUUUUUUUUUUUUUGUAAAUAACUUACAAUACGGUUUUAUUUGUAAAUACUGUGCAAUAGACAGAAAUGUUAAAAGGAAAGAAAAAAAGCAGAGGAUGAACAUAGGAAAAGCAAGGAAAGCAGAGAAGGGCUAGAUCAAAUCCUGGAGGAUUUUGCACGGCAAUUGGGAUAAUUUGAAUGACUUCUCUGAGGAUAUUGCUUGUUCAGGUGCUGUCCCUGUGGAUUUUGGGGCAGGGAAAGCUGUGGAUUUGUUGGGGAUGGAUUUGAGCUGUGGAUUUGUUGGGGAGGGGGAGGCAGAGCCCCAGCCCCAGCAGGAAGGAUUUGGGAUACUCUGGGUGGGAAUUAACCUGCUCUGCCCAGGGCUGGGCCAGCUCUGGUUUGGGAUCAGAGCAGGAUUUGGGACUGCUGGGAUGUCAGGGCCAGCAGGGCUGGGAUGUCACCCCUUAGGAGCAGGUGAGGAGCCUCAUUUCUCCUUGGAAAGCUGGAAAUUCACAGCUGUUUCAUUGUGGUUCUGUUCCCUGCUGCAGCUCCUGGGUGUCCAGCCGAGGACCUGGGAAUAAUCGGAGCUGGCAGAGCUCUGCCUCCAGCAUGGGGUGGUCUGGGGGAGCCCUCUCCUCAUCCCAUGGUCUGCUUGGCCCUGCGAGACCCCAAGCUCAGUUUAGGAGCUAAAUCCCUGCUGCAGCACAAAGGAGUUCCUGAAACUCCCGAGGUGCUCGGGAUCAGAGCCUGCUGAGCUCUGGAUGUCAGUCCUGGUGUGAAGAACAGCCAGGGGGUGAUUGCAGAGCUUGGGCCAAGUCCUCAGUGUGCGGGAGGAGUUCUGGCUGCCAGAGCAUCCCUGCAGGAUCCAGGAGCCACCCAAACUGCUCAGCAGGGAGGGAAAUGUCCCCGUGGGGUUGGGGCUGGUGGAGCAGCCACACCACAGAGGAGCAGCCUCUGUGCCCUCAUGGAUUAUAAAUCGGAGAUGCUCUGCCAUGAGAAAAGCAGGGGAUUUUAUUUCCACCUGCUGCUGAAAAGGAAGGGCUGGGCUCUGCUUUUUCAUUUGCCUAUUUGCAUUAUUAAUACAUUCUCUGGCAAAUAAUCCCGCUAAUUGCUCUGCAAAGCAGCAGAGCCACCCUUGCAGCCCUUGUGGGGAAGCAAAAAGGGAUUUCCCAUGCCUGCUUUGCAGGCGGAGCAGACAUUCAGAGCGACACGAAAAGCUGUGCCCAGCAAUCAGCUUUCACCGAGGGUGACACAGGGAGACCAGAGGGGACCGGGGUGGGAACGGCAGCCACCGGUGAGGGCUGGGAAUAGCAGCCAGCCCCGUGAAACUCCCGGGAGUGCCACUGCCGUGCUCCCCGGGGCACAGGGACACUCCUGCCCGGGCUCGCAGGAGGCUCCGGGCGGGGCUGGGCUGCCCGGACCCGCCGUGCCCGCACACAGAGAUGCUGGUGCUGGCGGGCUGCGGGUCCCUCCCCGCAGCUCUGAGCUGGCAGUGCGACCAUUAGCCCUUAAUUAGCGAUUAGUUAUUUUCGGGGGGAGCCUUCUCGCCCCUUGGGUACAGCGUGAAGCACCAUUUCACCCCAGCCACAGAAGCCAAACUGGGUUGGGACUCAGUUUUUGUGCCCAUCUCCUGAGUUUGCAGCGGUCCCUGCCUGCCCCGCUCCGUGGCUGCCGGGGGUGGGGAUGGGAUCCGGGCAGGGAAUGUCCCCGGGAGCACCUCAGCCCUUCCCCAAACUCCUUUUCCUGGUUUCUUUUUUGGCCCUGGGUGAAAGGAUCUGGAUGGUUACACACGAACUGCAAGGAUGCUCCGCAGCUGAGAUGCAGAAAGCUUCGAGCCGCUGGGAAAGCAUAAAAAUCCUGAUAAUGACAAUGAUAAAUCCCCACCACAACAACAACUAAAUAAUCAAUAAACCAAUGUAAAAACUUCGCGGUUUUCUUGGGGUUUUUUCUCUCCCCCUCUUUCCACAAAUGACAGAGGGAAAAAAAAAAACCACAAAAAGUUUAAAUAGAUUAAGGAUUGAAAUGCAGUUACAGAAAGAAGCUGAGCAGAUUUGAUCUAGCCCAAAACUCACAGCAAAUGCACCAAAAAACCAGACACAGCUGCUGCAGUAUUUUUAUAUACCAUACAUAUAUAUAUAUUUAUAUAUAUAUGUAAAAUUAAAUACAAAAAGCUACCGUGGAUCAAGUUAAGAGUGUGACAAGGGGCAGAAAGUGGCAGAAAUCGGGGAAUUCGCUCCAUUUCAGGGAUGGUUUCCAGGGAUGCUCACACCAGCCCGGGCCGAGCACUCCACUCCCACUCAGCCUGGGAUUAAGCGCGUUUUAAGCACGCACUUAAAGCCUGAGGAGGGUUUAAGCUGGUGCUUAAGAGCUCGAGUGAACGGAGCCGAGCUCCAGCCCCUGCUCCUGCCUCUGGAUCUGAGAACAGCAGCCCCCCCCCCCCCCCCCCCCCCCCCCCCCCCCCCCCCCCCCCCCCCCCCCCCCCCCCCCCCCCCCCCCCCCCCCCUGCCUCUGGAUCUGAGAACAGCAGCAGCUUCCAGGCUCGGGGCCAAAAAAGGAGAGAUGGGAAAAAGGGAAACCUGAUAAAAGCGCUAAUGAGGGGAUAAAUGGGUUCUGGACGUUGUUUUGGUCAGUGUCACAGCCUUAAUGGUAUUUCCAUGGUAUCUUUUUUUUUCCCCCCCCCCCCCCCCCCCCCCCCCCCCCCCCCCCCCCCCCCCCCCCCCCCCCCCCCCCCCCCCCCCCCCCCCCCCCCCCCCCCCCCCCCCCCCCCCCCCCCCCCCCCCCCCCCCCCCCCCCCCCCCCCCCCCCCCCCCCCCCCCCCCCCCCCCCCCCCCCCCCCCCCCCCCCCCCC
ensembl:lncRNA